AUCUGAUGCGAUAUGCCCGUGUGCUCACUGCGUCUUGUGUAGAUGUUGGACGUUUUUACACAUGAAUAUUGUUUGUGUAAUGCAGUCAUAAUAUUUACGCAGGGACGCAGGAGGAGAGAGGUGGAAGCUCUGCCGAACUGUGAGCACAGAAACUCGGACGGGGACUUGGGAUCGGCUACUGGCAGCAUUUUACUCAUCGGAAUGAUCCAGGAAUUAAAAUAAGAUUGGGGCCUGAAAGGAAGUGGCUAUCCCUCCCUUCCACCUCUACUGCACUGCAGUAACGCAGGGCCCAAGAGGGCAAAGCGCUGAUCAGGACUUUUCCCAAUUCACAAACUGCCAAUCGACACAAAAGACAAGCUGCCAAGGCUCCGUCGGGUGAAAAGAGAUACAGGCUCAUCACAAGUGCAUUCUUUCCAUUUUGCCGAAGAGCAGCGUGGCAGAGAAGGUAAUCUAUCACCCAAAUUGUCUGUCCUUCUCCUUCUCUUUUUCUAACUGUGUUUCUCUUUCUCCUUCCUCUAGGUUGGAGUGGGCAGGCGUGCGGCUUUGGCCACAGGAAGCUGUGAAUUCUUUGGAGAAUGGAAGAUGUCUUAUGGGGAGACAUAGUGGCCCCCCACCCACCCACUCACCCACCCACUCACCACCCCAAAAUGACCCCUGACCCUUGAUGUGUUUAUAUCAGACCAUGGAAGUGAGAAAUAGUGAUGAGUCACUCUGGCUCUGUGUUUACACUCCAGAGUCACGCAAGGAAGGAAAUCAGCCACGGUCUGCUAAAAGUGGCGAGGUGAGAGAGAAUAGCUGCAGUCCCCCAGCGCUGCAGUGAUUUACCUCCUAGAGCCUGAAUUUAUUUCACGUCAUCUCAGCUGCAAAGCUUUUCGACCAACAGAAAACAGCAACAUUACUGGCAUGGUAGACUGUAGUCGAGGAAAAGGUGAGUCUGACCAGAGCAGGGACCAAAACAACAGGUAGUUAAUGAAGAUGUGACUGUUCAUCUGGAGUCAAACCGAUGAAAGAUGCAACAAAUACACAUAAAGUAUAAGAGGAAGCAGAGUGAUUCAAAAAGAACAGGACAGUAUAAAUGCAACUGAAAUCUAACUGCUGCAAAGCUAUCUGGCCAGGGACACCUUUGUUAAAAUAGUGUAUGUUUAUAAUGGGAGGUAAAAUACCUUGAGGCAAGUUAAAGAGAAGAAAGUUUCAUCCUUUGCUUGACAUUAAACAUCUUUAGACAAACCCUUGUUUCUAUAAUGCAAGAAAAUAUGGAGUUUACCAAAACUACUCAAAAUUGGCAAAAAUAAAUAUUAGUAUAAAACUAAACUAUAUCUUGUUUCGGGAAAGUGUUUAUAAAAACUUUCGGUUAUAUUAAAACUGCCACUCAUCUAUUUAUUGUGGAGCAUUUCUUUAAGAUAAAACAGAAGUAUGUUUUUUUUAUCUGAUAAUAUCAUAAAAAUUCCAGAUAACUUUGCUUUAGCUCUGAUACAUUAUGGAAAAAAGUCUUUAUCAGCAAAUGUCACCUCAACUGACUUUACUGAACUAUUUGCACAUGAAAACAUACAACGUGGGUUAGUUUUUGACCAUAGUGUAAAAAAAAAAAAAAAAAAAUUCAAACAAUCUUUGGAAACAGUCGCACUCACAGAGCCAAUAAAUAACAUUGGUCUACAUAUACAAUGCCUGCAGAAUAAAAGUAGUGAAACUUGACCAGGUUUGAGUCACUACUAAAGAAAUGUUAAGACAAAAAUCAUGGUUGUCUGUAGUUUCCAAGAUACAGAUUUGGGUCAAAAUGUGAAAAUUUGAAAGUUAAUGAGAGAAUGGGUAUUACUGAAAAAGGAAUGGUUGAGUCAGAACAUUUAAUAGCUGAGGCAGAUAAUUAAAAAAAAAAGAGAAAAAAAAGUAGACCAUUGUGAUCCAAUGUUGACCCAAGUUUCCUGUUUUUCCUGUUUCAUUAA